ACAUUCACCCAAGUCAGGUGCACAAUUUAACAGUGAAAAUGUGGUGUUUCGUUAUAAAAACGUUUUGCCUGCUGCGUAGCUAAAGUCUAGUGGUUUUUCAGUCAACGAAAGGGCAUCAACCGAAUGUCAUCGUAAUAAUUGAAAGAAGAGAAGGGCAAAGACGAAAAGCGAGUAAAUAGAACGACAGAGCAAGAUGAGAUAGACAGAUCGAGUAGAAUACAUGCAAUUUGAUCCACUUGAUCCCAUUUUCGGGAGCUCCGCCAUUUGCUGCAGCUCUCACGUGGCAACCCGCCUGCUUAUUGCAUCUCUCCGUGUGUAUAGUGAACGCAUCGUGUUGGCGGAAAAUGGUCAACAACUCGGGUCGUUGACUCUUCUCCAUCUUAGUCGACGGAUGGCGAUUUAAAAAAAGAAAGGGUCGUUGUCUCAGAGUACAGUUUUAGUCGCACGAACUGCGAAUGUUUCGCCGAUGCUUGUGAUUUGGAAAAAAAAAAGGUCCAGGGAAAAAUCAAAAAUCCAGGCGAGAACGGGACAGGGUGUUCAGGGUAUUACGCAGGAAGUGAAGCUGAAUGGAAGGAUUUUAUUCGGCAACGUUUGAAAUCAUUGGCGUAUAUUUCGGAUCUUUUUCUUAUUUGUAUUUUGUAAAAAAAAAAAAUUUUGAUCCGUGACUGGACCCGAAAGUGAAAUCUUUUCCCAGCCUGCGGGAAUUGGCCCAAAAUUCUUUUAUUUUGGCAAAAUAAAAUAAAAAAAAUGGCAUUACAAUAAAGCAAGGACAAGAGGAGAACGUUGUUUUGGUACUACUUUCUUUCAUGGCUGUUGAACAUCAUCAUCGUCAGAGACGUCAUUUUCUCUCACUCCAUUCUUGGUUUUUCUUGUCCGCCUCGCUCUCGAUUUUUCAUACAAUCAAACGAGUCAAGGAUAGUUCCGAAGAAAGGCAGUGUAGCUCCUGGCUUUUGCUAGCAACAACUGGAACAGAGGGGAAAGUCGUACAUUUAUUGGGAACCGUUCCAAAACCCAUCUUACGUUGUGCCCAUGCAACCGUAUCGAUUGUAAAAAAAAAAAAGACGGAGGCUGCAAAGUGACUAGUUGAAAAAUAGGAAAAAGGGGGGAAAGAAAACGAGAGAUAAAAUGAAAUGAAUCGAAUGGUUUUUGCCCUCUUGGAAGAUAUCAGAUAGCUUACGUACCAAAUUCUGUCGGCGUAGCCUUUGCGCCCGUGGCGGCUUGUUAAGGGCUGCGUGCGGGAGAUAUUCUGCAGUUUCCUCUUGUCUCGUUAAAAAAAAGGGGGGGAAAGGCCAAGAGCUUCUUUUUUUUUUUUCGAUUUUAGCGAAACCAAGCGUUCCAUCUCGAGUGGUCUGUGAUGUCGUUGCCAUUAUCUAGACUUCCCUUAAGCAAACGACGCACGUUGCUGCUCCAACGAAAACAAUUAGACGGUGCCUCUUACGGGUGAAAUAUAAUAAUGAUGCGGUCAGCAGCGUCUCACAGAGGAAACCUGCUGUUGUGGGCAACUAUUGCACCGUAUCGGUCGUAAACUGCCGGACGUUGGCCUGUGUUUAAGCGAUGACGAAGCCAACACGAUCCCUCGGCGCACACUAAAAGACUCUUCUCAACUAGAAUUGUGUGUACGUGAAAGAAAUGUGGGUCGCCUUGAAUACGCACACGAGAAAAGAUUAUUAACGAAACAAAAGAGAAAGCGGUUGCACUAGCGGGAACAUGUGUAGCCGAAUAAUGUGAAGCAGACUAUACGCGAAGCUCGUACACGUAGCCGCAGACAACAAGAACAGCUUGCAGCUUCCGUGUAGCAGCAGCAAUUCAGUGAGCGUUACCCAAAGGCAAAAGUAUAGCGAAGCUGCGUUAGUGAUGGUCUCCUACAUAUACAAAAGGAGACGAAAUUGAAUCAGUCCCGGAUGCAAUUGCAGACCUCCGGGAGUUGAGAAGAAAGACGAGGUGGCCUCGGAAAAAGAAAAGCAAUGAGACUUACUGCACAGGCAGCUAGAAGAAGACCCAAAGAAUAAGAAAGUUACACGGAAGACAGCGAGCAAUCUGCUGUAUAUAUACAUGGACGACUCUGAUGCCGUACACGGAAGGGAAUUGCAUCGUAUGAAUUUCUUUCCCUAUGGUUAUAGCCGUUGAAAGUCUUUUUCUAUACCGCAGUCACGUCUUCUGAAACCAAUCAAGUUACUGGGAUGCCACGAGAAAAGAAGAGCCGAAACACAAAAAAAGGACUUUGCUGAAAAGAUCGAAGGCCUCAACGAAUAGGCGAACGAUCCAUAACGCUACCCUCUUGCCGAUGGUUCCACUUCGACGAACACUCGGUGUAUAUACAGAAUCCAGAAAAUGUGUAAGCUGACAAUCAGCGUAUGAUGAACGGGAUUCAUUAGUGCAGGAAUCAGCAGUUUGUGUUGCACCACAAAAGCCGACAUCGUAAACGGGAUCAUAACAAGAUAAUGGCAUCCAAUAAUUGCUCGAUGAGGCUUUCCUAUCACAUAUACAAUUACACAUCCAACAAGCUGACACAGAGCUACCAAUUUCCCGAGCUGAAGGAAAAUCAUUCGCAUGCUCACAGAGACUUGACAAUCGUCAGCACUUGAUAGUUGGAUCAUCCGUCAGCGAGUCGUCAAUCGUCUGCAAUUGGUUGGGCCAAAGUUCCCAGCAACGAACCUGAUGAUGCGUGUGUGUGUGUUUUGUUUUCUCCUCCGCUUCAUCCAUUCGGCGCGUCGUUGGCACUCUGACAGGCGACGUUAUUUCAGCGAGGGAUGAUGAUGCUAACCAUUUCGUUGACGGAGAUCCAGCCCUAGGGAUCUAUAAACCAUUUGGUUGGUUCGUGUCGUCUUGACUGGAAUGACUUUAUCCAAACUUUUUACGUGUAAACCUGGCCAAACGUCUUCCCACCAACUAGUAAGGUUCCUUUUCUUUUUAUUAGUUCCUUUUUUUUAUUUUCAAAUCCAAGUCAUCCAUCUAUCAUGGGAUUCUUGACUGGCUGGAAUACUUUCUUUUUUAUAUAAUCAUGACAUCACUAAGACGUUGUUGGAACAACAGACGGAUCUUUUCACAUCAAACAUUGAUGGCCAAAUGCAGACGACUGCUAUGUCUGCAUACCACAAAAGCAUAAAUAUGGAUGAUAUGCAACUCCAGGCCAAGAACCUACUCGGCGAUACUUAAGCCGUAGCACACACUCACUGAUGAUGCAGAUGUUUUAUCCCUUCAGAUUUUUUUUUUUUUUUUAAUGCUGUUGCUUUCUCAGGAUUAAAUUCCUAUAGUCGCCAAACUAGACGUCCAAGAAUUUGGGAUUUCACGAAAGCCCUUCUUAACUGGUGGAACACGUUCUCGCCGCCGGAUGAACUGCUUUCGGCUCUGCGUCAUCGAAGUUGAUUUUACAAAAAAGAAGAAAACAGGCGUUGUGGUACAUGUGCCUAAGGAUAAAAUGGAAUCACGUUCCGCUUUUCGAGGAAUUGUUCUAUUGUCGACCACCUCUGCAUAACAGAAAGAAAAGAAAGAAAAAAAUUCUGCACACUCUAUCGAAUUGUGCUUGAACGUGGGGACCCCAUCUGCAAACGGGUUGCGCAGCUCAUUUGAAUACCAAAUAUCGGCAAUUACAAUGAAGAUGCCGUAUACAUAAAUCUUGUGGUUAAUAGCUCCAUUGCAUGGAUCAAGUCCGUUUUCGCUAGACUUGUUUGAACGCCCGUCGUUGCCAUCGACCGAGCCACUUGGACAAAACAAAACAACGAUAAAAAAAAACAAGGAAAGGAUGACAGCAGGGUAUAUUCCUUGUCCAAAAAGUCCCGAGUCACAAUUCAUGACAGAGAGAAACAAUCUCUGCAGCCCCACGGCUUCAAAUGAUGGACGGUCGGGCGAUCAAGUUAUUUCUGUCGGGGCAUUUCCAGUGGCAAGCGACUAGGGCCAUAUCUCUAAAUAGUAAUGCACUUUCAUACUUUUCAAUGCGUUUAUUCGCCUCUGACUCUUUCCUUUUCUCAUGUUUUUAUCUUAAUCGUCCUGCUGCCUCCCCGCCGGGAGUUGGCGAGAGAUCACAGCCACUAGAAACCAAGUUGCUGCCGGAUUGGAAGAGUUUACAGCUGCGCUGCAGAGUCCCAUUUGGCUUGUCACGCUCUGUAUCGUAUAGACUCAGUUGCUGUUGAAUAGAGCCGCUCAACAACCCAAUUAGAGAAUACGGGACUGUUCUUAUAUGUAUAUAAAAAUUUUCUGACAGCAGGAAAAAGACAAAUUUGAUUCUUAAGCGUGCGAUGGCCUUUUUUUUUCUUUGUUCCUCCUAUUUUUUAAACCCUAUUUUCCGAUUUCGUCCUUCCGUUUCAUCUUCCGUUUCACUAUUUCUUUCCAUAGGAUUAGACAGCUCUUGAGAUGGAUGAUGGAGGACAGAUAAGAGACUUUUGCAACAUAACGAUGAACGCUGUCCGAAAUCAAUUACCGGUUACAGAUGUCGCUCAUAUCGCUAGUCACGAUGGGAUGCGUAACUAGCCGGGCGAAGGCACUGAUCGUUUGUGCUGGCCUGUCGUUUGUAUUUAUCUCUAAAGAUAUGAUUGAAUAAGUUUCCCAAAAGGGCUCAUCUUUUUAAACGGUUCUACUCUCAGUGUAUCGUUUAUUUCCUGUCUGCCUCCACAACAAACAAAAAAAAUCCAUGGGCUUGAAGAGAUAAAGUGGUAUUAAAACUGUCAGCACAGCCAUCUCAGCCCACUGUCCAUUGGCAAUCUAAAGGUUAAAGUGGAAACUAGCAGCCAGACAAAAUUUCUUUGGUUGGGUGUUCAUGAAUAACUUUAAUCACCAGCAGUGCUAGAGGGGCGGAAAAUAAAGUAUUCGUCUAUGUCAUUAAAAGAUUAAUAAAAUAUUUUGCAAGAACUGCAA